AUGGAGAGAUGUCUGCUAGUGAUUGUGAUUACAGUUUCAGGUGUAUUCGCUGACAGCAUUCGUCCAGACAAAGAUAUUAAUAUGACGAGUAAUGAAGGAGAGUCUGUGACACUGAGAUGCUCUUAUGAUACGAGCAGCAAUAAUGUUUGGCUUUACUGGUACAGACAGUAUGUUAAUACUGAACCUCAAUAUUUACUAUGGAAAGGAGCUCGAUCAGACAGCAACUAUGAGAAUAUACCAGACAGUCGGUUUGAUUCAAUCACAUCCCAAUCCUCCACUGAACUCAUUAUUAAGAGUGUAUCUCUGUCAGAUUCAGCUCUCUAUUAUUGUGCUCUAAGAAUAAGAGCCCAGUGA